rfam:Camelus ferus unplaced genomic scaffold scaffold1095, whole genome shotgun sequence.
GAGGGUAUAGCUUAAGUGGUAGAGCACGUGCUUAGCAUACAUGAGGUCCUGGGUUCAAUCCCCAGUACCUCCA